rnacentral:rRNA from 1 species
UACGUAGGGGGCAAGCGUUGUUCGGAAUGACUGGGCGUAAAGGGUGCGUAGGCGGUGUAGCAAGUUAGAAGUGAGAUACCUAGAGCUUAACUCAGGUGCUGCUUCUAAAACUGCUAUACUUGAGUGCAGUGGAGGAAAGUGGAAUUCCUAGUGUAGCGGUGGAAUGCGUAGAUAUUAGGAGGAACAUCAGUGGCGAAGGCGACUUUCUGGACUGUAACUGACGCUGAGGCACGAAAGUGUGGGGAGCAAACAGG